rnacentral:rRNA from 1 species
UGGUAGAGUGAAACUGCGGAUAGCUCAUUACAACGCCUACAUUUUUCUUGAUUGUCAAUCUACAGGAUAACCGUAGAAAAUCUAGAGCUAAGACUUGCAUUGAUAUCCAGCCUUUACUGGCUGGAUGCAUUUUUCUGAUAUCCGAUCGCAUGUUGCCGUAAGGCUUCAAGCGAAAGGUGAUUCUAGAUGACUUUGCUGAUCGUAUGGCUUUAUGCCGACGACAGAUCAAAUAAAAUCGCGCCCUAUCAAUUUGUAGUUAGGAUAUUUUCCUAACUAGAUUACGACGGGUCACGGGGAAUCAGGGUUCGAUUCCGGAGAGGCAGCUUGAGAUAUCGCUACCACAUCUAAGGAAGGCAGCAGGCGCGCAAAUUACCCACUCCCGAACUGGGGAGGUAGUGACGAGAAAUAUCAGUCUAACUCUUUGAGCAAUAGACUGGAAUGGACGAAAAUUCAGGUCCAUUCGUGAAUACUAGCGAGGGGGCAAGUCUGGUGCCAGCAGCCGCGGUAAUUCCAGCCUCGCACGUACAUGUAAAAUUUGUUGCAUUUAAAAAGCUCGUAGUCGGACUGUUUCACGACGUUUUGUUCAAAGCCAGCUGCAACUCGGCUAACCAGUUUCGAAGGGUUUUGAACUGGUCAAUUAGUCGUUGCAACUGGAUGAAUAGUCGUGAACAAGUACAAAUUUCGCUCCUACACUUAAUUGUGUGGGGGAUUGAACAUUUGUAGACGUACCUUGAACAAAUCGGUUUGUUCAAAACAGGCCAUAUCGAGCGCCUGGACAUUCGAGCAUGGAAUGAUCGAUCGUGACCUGAUCGUUUGGUCGGAAACGAAUAAGGUCCAGGUCAAAAGGGACAUUUGGGGGCAUACGAACUCGGCAGCGAGAGGUGAAAUUCUAAGACCUGCCGAGGUCGAACUAAAGCGAAAGCAUUUGCCAAGAAUGUUUUCAUUGAUCAAGAACGAAAGUUGGAGGAUCAAAAACGAUCAGAUACCGUUGUAGUUCCAACUUUAAACUAUGCCGACUGUUGGGGCCAGUUCGGUAUAUCCG